rnacentral:misc_RNA from 1 species
CCUUUUAACCCAAAACUUAAAAUUUCAUCAAAGAACGGCCUCCUCCUGGCUGUUCUUUUUUUUUCCUGGCUCUGCCACACCA